rnacentral:rRNA from 1 species
GACGAACGCUGGCGGCGUGCCUAAUACAUGCAAGUAGAACGCACAGUUUAUACCGUAGCUUGCUACACCAUAGACUGUGAGUUGCGAACGGGUGAGUAACGCGUAGGUAACCUGCCUGGUAGCGGGGGAUAACUAUUGGAAACGAUAGCUAAUACCGCAUAAUAUUAAUUAUUGCAUGAUAAUUAAUUGAAAGGUGCAAUUGCACCACUACCAGAUGGACCUGCGUUGUAUUAGCUAGUAGGUGAGGUAACGGCUCACCUAGGCGACGAUACAUAGCCGACCUGAGAGGGUGAUCGGCCACACUGGGACUGAGACACGGCCCAGACUCCUACGGGAGGCAGCAGUAGGGAAUCUUCGGCAAUGGAUGACAGUCUGACCGAGCAACGCCGCGUGAGUGAAGAAGGUUUUCGGAUCGUAAAGCUCUGUUGUAAGAGAAGAACGGGUGUGAGAGUGGAAAGUUCACACUGUGACGGUAUCUUACCAGAAAGGGACGGCUAACUACGUG